CCUUAACCUUUGAGGCAAGUAAGGGGGGGACACCCUAUGCAGAAGAUGUUGACUUUUUCCUCUCCACCACCAUCACCACAGUUCCUCCUCCUUUAUUGGAUGCUAGCGGGUCCUCAAAGGCUCCGAGGCUGUAAUUAGAGGGUGGAUCCUGUAAAGCAGAGGAGCUCCCCCCUUAGUCCCUUCCAACUACAGACCAGCCCGUUCUCUUUCCUUGUCUCUCUCCUUCCUCCUCCAAAAUCUGCAGCAAACCCCUCAGGCUGGGGACAGAGAUGGCAUCGUGGCUGCUCGAGGUAAUCUUCCUGCUGCGCCUGGCCAGGGGCCCUAGAGAAUCCUGACUUGCAGCAAUCUGGAGUUUUUUUUUUCUUUGGGGGGUGGGUCGGUCAGACCAGGUGGACCUGAAACCCCAAAGCUCAAGGAACUGAGGAAAAAGAAGAAACCAGCUAUGGCUCCAGCCCCCUUGCCAUGCUGACAGACACCUGCAACAAAUUUGGAAGAACUAGUCCAUCGCAGGAUUCACCUCCUCCAGGAAAAGCAGAGGACAGUUUGGGGAAGAAACCUUAUCUUUUGGGACUGGAGCCUUUUGCUCCAAAAGUCUGGGGGGCUGAAGGGAUGGGAGAUUCCUACACGGCCACUUUCCCUAACGGGAAUGGACUGGUGUCCCCCUCAGCCAGCCCGCAGGCUUCCACCACUUACAACAAUGACUACAGCCCCUUCUCCCACUCCUUUCCAGCCUCUCCCUCAUCUCAAGAUCCAUCUUCUCUGUUGGUGUCCAAGGGCCACCCAUCUCCUGACUGUCUCCCCAGUGUCUACACCUCUUUGGAUAUGGCACAUCCUUACAGCUCCUGGUACAAAGCCGGUAUCCACCCAGGCAUCUCCACCAGCUCCAGCAACCCCACUGCUUCCUGGUGGGACAUGCACUCCAACAGCAAUUGGUUGAGCUCUCAGCCCCAGUCAGAUGGGAUCCAGGGCUCUUUGCAGUCUGUGCCUAACCAGGCUUCCAUCAGCCCUCAACUGCCCAGUUACACCUCAGAAUUCACCACUUUGAACCCUGCCCCUUACCCUGCGGUGGGCAUCACUUCCUCGUCCCACCUUCUCUCUUCCGGCCAGCACGUCCUGCCCCAAGAAAUGUACAAGCCCAAGCCGGUGGCCAACAACUCCCUGAUGGAAGGCGGGAUCGGACUGAAGUCUGGAAGAGGGGGCUCAUUCGGGAGCACGGCAGGCAGGUCUACUUGCGACUGCCCCAAUUGCCAAGAGCUGGAGCGGCUUGGGGCCUCGGCAGCCAGCCUACGGAAAAAGCCCAUCCACAGCUGCCACAUUCCGGGCUGCGGGAAGGUUUACGGCAAGGCCUCGCAUCUCAAAGCUCAUCUGCGGUGGCACACCGGGGAGCGCCCCUUCGUCUGCAACUGGCUCUUCUGCGGCAAGCGAUUCACCCGCUCGGACGAGCUGGAACGCCACGUCCGCACUCACACCCGGGAGAAGAAAUUCACCUGCCUGCUAUGCAACAAGCGCUUCACCCGCAGCGACCAUCUCAGCAAGCAUCAGAAAACCCACAGCGAGAUGGGGGUGGGCAAGCCCCCCAACAGGGAAGGGGAGCGAGAGGAGGCUGCUGCCGUGGCUGGUUCCCCCACAACUGGCCUGAAGGAUGGCCUGCCAGGAGAGGAGAAAGAUACCACCAGUCCAGAGCAGAACAACCUACUGGAAAUCUAAGUUGUGGGGUUGAAUGUCUGCUCCACCUUUGUUCUCCACCACCAUUACCACCCUUUGAAAACGUCUCUCAUCUAAAUAAUUUAUUUCUUUGGGGAAAAUGCAGACAUAGAGGCUGUUGGUCUUUCUGUCCAGACAAGACAUGUGCCAAACAUCAUUUCCACCUUAACUCCUAAAGCUAACUCAGCUGAGAUACCAGAAGGUCCGUGACUUUGUGGCUGAAACCACAAAUAUAGCCAGAAUCUCUGGUUGUUCUCUGCGUGGUUGUAGCCAAAGCCUUUAUCCUGAGUUCAUUCAAAUGUGACAUUUAAAAAGAAUGAACAAGACAUUUGGGGAGAUGCCAAUAAAUAUCUGCAGUUAGCCUGUCUGGGGAGGUUAGCUGACUGGUGGGCAAUGCGAGAUUGAAGCAGGGUUUUCUCAGGGUAUGUUUCGGAAUCAUUUUCCAUCGAAUGUAGCCUGCAGAGCAUUCAGUCUGGAGCAUUUCUCCUUUAACACCUUGCUGAAAGUUCAAAUCUGCUCAGCCACAGAUAGAAAGAGGAAGGCAAGAGGUUUGGAUUGCUUCAGUACUAGGGUGGGAGUAUUUGUAUCCCCAGAGCACGCCCCUGCUUUAGAAGUGUUCAAUAGGUAAGCACAGUCGCUAGCUUGGGACACGAGAAACAGGCUUGACUGGUCCAGAUCUUGAAGGAGCUCGUGUGGCUUUCAGAGCUGCAGAGAACAGCAGAUUCUUCCAGCGGAUGCACACUGCUGCGAAGAUGAGAAAAGCCACAGAAAGAUGCGAAAAGACGAAAUCCUGCCCUCCAUGAGACUCUUAAAGUUUACUCUCAGCAGGAGGAACUUUGCCACUUCUGAUGAGCAGCCUGUGUGGUGGAGGGAGUGGGACGUGUGGAAGAGGGACGCCUGCCCAAUUUAUGUGGAUGGUUCAUG